rnacentral:rRNA from 1 species
ACGGCUCAGUAACACGUAGCUAACCUGCCCUUAAGUCGAGGAUACUCUCGGGAAACUGAGGUUAAUACUCGAUAGGAGAUGUACCCUGGAAUGAUUCAUCUCUCAAAUUCGAGCUUAAGGAUGGGGCUGCGGCGGAUUAGGUUGUUGGCGGGGUAAUGGCCCACCAAGCCGAUGAUCCGUAAGGGCUCUUAGCGGAGAGGCCCUGAGAGGGAAUCUUAGACACUAUUCCCAGCCCUACGGGGUGCAGCAGUUAGGAAUCUUCUGCAAUGCGCGCAAGCGUGACAGAUUGAGCCAGAGUGCUUUUCAAUUGAAAAGCUUUUGCCAAAUGUAAAAAGUUUGGCGAAUAAGGACUGGGUAAGACGAGUGCCAGCCGCCGCGGUAAUACUCGCGGUCCAAGUCGCAGCCAUCUUUAUUGGGUAUAAAACAUCCGUAGCUUGUUUAAUAAGUUUCUUGUGAAAUUUCAUAUCUUAAAUAUGAAGCGUGCAAGAAGUACUGUUGAACUAGAGACUGGAAGACGUAAGAAGUAUGUCUGGAGUAGCGGUAAAAUGUGUUAAUCCCAGACAGACUACCAACAGCGAAGGCAUCUUACGAGGACAGUUCUGACAGUAAGGGAUGAAGGCUAGGGGCGCAAAACGGAUUAGAUACCCGUGUAGUCCUAGCAGUAAACACUGCACACUAAACAUCAGUACCUCCUCGCGAGGUAUUGGUGCUGAAGAGAAGUCAAAGAGUGUGCUACCUGGGAAGUAUAGUCGCAAGGCCGAAACUUAAAGAAUUGGCGGGGGAGCAC